rnacentral:rRNA from 1 species
AGUGAACGCUGGCGGUAGGCCUAACACAUGCAAGUCGAACGGCAGCACAGUAAGAGCUUGCUCUUACGGGUGGCGAGUGGCGGACGGGUGAGGAAUACAUCGGAAUCUACUUUUUCGUGGGGGAUAACGUAGGGAAACUUACGCUAAUACCGCAUACGACCUACGGGUGAAAGCAGGGGAUCUUCGGACCUUGCGCGAUUGAAUGAGCCGAUGUCGGAUUAGCUAGUUGGCGGGGUAAAGGCCCACCAAGGCGACGAUCCGUAGCUGGUCUGAGAGGAUGAUCAGCCACACUGGAACGGAGACACGGUCCAGACUCCUAUGGGAGGCAGCAGUGGGGAAUAUUGGACAAUGGGCGCAAGCCUGAUCCAGCCAUACCGCGUGGGUGAAGAAGGCCUUCGGGUUGUAAAGCCCUUUUGUUGGGAAAGAAAAGCAGCAGGUUAAUACCCCGCUGUUCUGACGGUACCCAAAGAAUAAGCACCGGCUAACUUCGUG